rnacentral:rRNA from 1 species
GACGAACGCUGGCGGCGUGCUUAACACAUGCAAGUCGAACGGAAAGGCCCUGCUUUUGUGGGGUGCUCGAGUGGCGAACGGGUGAGUAACACGUGAGUAACCUGCCCUUGACUUUGGGAUAACUUCAGGAAACUGGGGCUAAUACCGGAUAGGAGCUCCUGCUGCAUGGUGGGGGUUGGAAAGUUUCGGCGGUUGGGGAUGGACUCGCGGCUUAUCAGCUUGUUGGUGGGGUAGUGGCUUACCAAGGCUUUGACGGGUAGCCGGCCUUGGAGGGGGACCGGCCACAUUGGGACUGAGAUACGGCCCAGACUCGUACGGGAGGCAACGGUGGGGAAUAUUGCAGAAUGGCCGGAAGCCUGAUGCAGCAACGCCGCGUGCGGAAUAAUGGCCUUCGGGUUGUAAACCGCUUUGGACUGUAACGAAGCGGGAGUGACGGUAAUGGGUAAAGAAGCACCGGCUAACUACGUG